rnacentral:rRNA from 1 species
UACAGAGGUGGCAAGCGUUGUUCGGAAUUACUGGGCGUAAAGGGCGCGUAGGCGGCCUGCUAAGUCACACGUGAAAUCCCUCGGCUCAACCGGGGAACUGCGUGUGAUACUGGCGGGCUUGAAUUCGGGAGAGGGAUGUGGAAUUCCAGGUGUAGCGGUGAAAUGCGUAGAUAUCUGGAGGAACACCGGUGGCGAAGGCGGCAUCCUGGACCGAGAUUGACGCUGAGGCGCGAAAGCCAGGGGAGCAAACGGG